UAACUGGGAUAACUAUUGGAAACAAUAGCUAAUACCGGAUAUAGUUAUUUAUCGCAUGAUGAGUAAUAGAAAGGAGCUUCACAGCUUCACUUAAAAAUGGGGGUGCGGAACAUUAGUUAGUUGGUAGGGUAAUGGCCUACCAAGACGAUGAUGUUUAGCCGGGCCGAGAGGCUGUACGGCCACACUGGGACUGAGAUACGGCCCAGACUCCUACGGGAGGCAGCAGUAAGGAAUUUUCCACAAUGAGCGAAAGCUUGAUGGAGCGACACAGCGUGCAGGAUGAAGUUCUUCGGAAUGUAAACUGCUGUUAUAAGGGAAGAAAAAAUAGAAUAGGAAAUGAUUUUAUCUUGACGGUACCUUAUUAGAAAGCGACGGCAAACUAUG
rnacentral:rRNA from 1 species